rnacentral:rRNA from 1 species
CUACGGGGGGCAGCAGUGGGGAAUAUUGCACAAUGGGCGCAAGCCUGAUGCAGCAAUGCCGCGUGUAUGAAGAAGGCCUUCGGGUUGUAAAGUACUUUCAGCGGGGAGGAAGGUCGUAAAGCUAAUACCUUUGCUCAUUGACGUUACCUGCAGAAGAAGCACCGGCUAACUCCGUGCCAGCAGCCGCGGUAAUACGGAGGGUGCAAGCGUUAAUCGGAAUUACUGGGCGUAAAGCGCACGCAGGCGGUUUGUUAAGUCAGAUGUGAAAUCCCCGGGCUCAACCUGGGAACUGCAUCCGAUACUGGCAAGCUAGAGUCUGGGAGAGGGGGGGAGAAUUCCAGGUGUAGCGGUGAAAUGCGUAGAGAUCUGGAGGAAUACCAAUGGCGAAGGCGGCCCCCUGGACCAAGACUGACGCUGAGGGGCGAAAGCGUGGGGAGCAAACAGGAUUAGAUACCCCAGUAGUC